rnacentral:lncRNA from 1 species
CACGAGGUUGUGCAACCAUCUCCUCUGACCAGUUCCAGGGCAUUUUUGUUACCCCAAAAGGACAGUCUGUACCCAUUAAUAAUCCCUCCCCAUAAGCCCUGGCCAUCACCAAUCUGCUUUCUGUCUCUAUGGAUUUACUUAUUCUGGACAUUUCAUAUAGAAAGAAUCAGACAUGGGAGUUCCUACUGUGAUUCAGUGGGUUCAGAUUCUUACUGCAGCAGCUCAUAUCACUGUGGAGGCACAGGUUCGACCCCCAGCACAGUGCUUUGAGUUAAAGGAUCUGGCAUUGUCCAGCUGUUGUAUAGGUCGAAGCUAUGGCUCAGAUUCAGUCCCUGGCCCAGGAACUUCCAUACACAGUGGGUGCAGCAAUUUAAAAAAAGAGAAACAGACACUAUGUGGGGUUUCAGGAAUGUCUUCCUUCAUUUAUCAUCACAUUUUCAAGGUUCACCUACAUCUUAAUAUGUACCAUGACUUCAUUCCUUUUUAUGGCUGAAUACUAUUCCAGGUAGGACAGUGCACAUUUUCUCUUUUCAUCCUUUGGUGAUGCUUUUUUUUUUUUUGGGGGGGGGAUGCAUUUCUUUUAAACAGAUUGCCUAAUUAUCCUUCAUCCGGCUUUGAUCUCUUACUAUACGGCAGAUCCGUUCUCAUCUUCAUAGGCCCUAUAAUUUUCCAUUAGACAACGUUGGUAUCUUUAAGUAUAUUCUGGAAAGUAAUAAAUUGCAUCUCUCCCAACUGGCUGUGAAGUGAGUCCUUGUCUUAGGAAAUAUUUGAAGCACCUCUCCAAAGAAGAAAACAGGAUAACGACAAUAGCUACAACAUCCAAUAAAUGGCCAUUGUUCUCAUUUCCGUAUUAUUGUUAUUUCAUUCAGUGUUUAUUUACUCAGUGACCUGCUCUGUGCCAGGCACUGGGCUUAGACUAUGACAUAUGAAGUCUUAUUUAACCCUUGCAAUGACUCUCGAAGUUAGAUCUUAUUGUGCCCUUUUUAUAGGUGGCACAGCUGAGACUCAGAGAGGUUGAGUGUCCCCAGUCAAGUCACACAGUCUCUGGUCUCAGGUUGCUCAAGCUUGGGGAUGGGGACACAGACACGAUGUGGGUUGAGGAGGAAGUGGAUGGAGUGCUGUGGGUGCCCAGAUGGGUGACACUGGUUUGGCCAGCUGCUUUCAUGUCACUUGGUUUGACCAUGGGAGUGGAGUUCCUGCUGCUUCUGAGCAAAGAGAAUUUAUACCAUAAGGGUUUCCUCCAGUGAAAAGGGGAUCAUUGAGAAUAUAGGGGUGUUGCUAAGCUAAUGUUGUAGAAACCAAAUGUGCAACCCAUUUUCUGGGGGGUGCACACUCUCUGGUUCUGAAUUUCUGGGCUGGAGCCUGAGAUUCUGUACUUCUAUCCAGCUUCCAGGUGAUGCUGCUGCUGGUCCACAGUUGGAAUAUCAAGGGUCUAGAAGAUUCAGGAGUUCCCAUGAUGGCUCAGGGGAAACAAAUCUGACUAGUAUCCAUGAGGUCACAGGUUCGAUCCCUGGCCUUGCUCAGUGGGUUAGGGAUCUGGCAUUGCCAUGAGCUGUGGUGUAGGUCGCAGACGUGGCUCCGAUCUGGUGUUGCUGUGGCUGUGGCGUGGGCUAGCAGCUAUAGCUACGAUUAGACCCCUAGCCUGGGAACCUCCACAUGCUGCAGGUGCAGCCUUAAAAAGACAAAAAAUAGCCGGUGCCUAGAAGAUUCAGAUCCCAACUCUGAGGUUGGUCUCUUGCCAUCUCUGAACCUCAGUUUUUUUUCCUUUUUUCUCUCUCUUUCUUUCUUUUGCUGCAACCACAGGGUGUGGAAAUUCCUAGGCCAGGGAUCGAACCCUCGCCACAGCAGCAAUCUGAGCCCCUGCAGUGACCAUGCCAAAUCCUUAACCUGUUGUGCCACAAGGGACAUCCUCUGAACCUAAGUUUCUUUCCCUCAUCCUUGGUGGCAUUGCCCUCCAUCUGGAACAUUCUCUGAGGUGUAAAAAUAGUGUGGAGUUUUCACUUUCUGUGUGCUUGCCAGAAAGCCACUGGACACCUGCUAGGGCGAAAGGUUUCCUCCCAAAGCCCCCAGGAGCUCAUGAACAGGUGCCAGGGAUGGUCCGGGGCCCUGGCACAAAAUGAAGGCAGAGACCAGAGGCAGCUAGGCCCUGGAGAAGCAGCAGGAGAGGUUUCCGUUCAUCACAGAAAUGGCCCAUUUGCAAUGAUCGGUUGCCCAGGUGUUAAUAACGCUAAUGGCAUAGGAAGGGUAAACUCGGUCACUUGGCUGAACAGAAGAAAUAUGCAGAGAAGUGCUCGGGUUUCCAUAAAUCAGCCGUGUGCGGUGCUACGAGGGAGGCAGGACUUAAAAUUCCGGUCAGGGGAUGGGUAUUCUCAUAAUCCGAGCUGGAGAGGUAAUUUAUUCUGUUUAUAUCUUUUUACUGCACGACAAGGCUUGGGAGCGGGAGCCCUCCACAGCCAUUCUGCAUUUUAAAUAUUAGUCCUAAGCACCGUGGGUCAGAUCUUGUGCACGGGCUCUGUGGGGUGUUCUUUUCAGGGCAGGAGGACAGAGGUGGGGGGUGGGGGGAGCAUGCGUGCCAGGGGCUGGAAUACGUGGGGUUUCACCCUCCAGGGUUCGCCAGAAUUACAGCCUAGAGGCAGCGAGAGAGGGGAUGUCUGCCUUUACCCAGAGCUGGAGGGCACAGCCAGGGGCUGGUUAACCUCUUUACCUGCACAGCUCAGAGUAUUUUUUUUCCCUCUCUCAGAGAUCUUUUAUUUUAAAAUGAUAAUAAAUACAGGCGAUUGAGAGAUAGAGGAGAUGAACAGAUACAUUAAUGCAGGAGGAAGGGGACGAGAAAGGGAGGGAGAGAGAAAGAAACAAGGGCAAAGCUGGAGAAGCCGGGAGUCCUCUGUCUUUUGACCUUGGCAAUUUCCAUGGUGCCCUUUGCGCUUCUGGCAGGUUUUAUUUAACCCUGGAAGGGGUUUUAAACCAAAUCAGGUGAGGUUGCUCCAGUAAGAAUUAGCAUUCAUUGGAGUUCCCUUUCUGGCGCAGUGGUUAACGAAUCUGACUAGGAACCAUGAGGUUGCGGGUUUGAUCUGCUACAGCUCCGAUUAGACCCCUAGCCUGGGAACCUCCAUAUGCCA